AUGAGCAGACCCAAGUCCACCCCGCUGAUUAUAGAGCCUAAGUUAUAUGGAAGGGAUAGCCAUAAGAAGAUCAUUGUAGAUGAAAUUGUUAAUAGCGAGGGUCGUGGACUUACUGUGCUUCCAAUUGUUGGCCCGGGGGGUAUCGGGAAGACAACUUUCACACAACAUAUAUAUGAACAAAUGAAGAACCAUUUCCAGAUAUCCAUUUGGAUAUGCGUCUCUCUCGAUUUUAACGCAAAUAGGUUAACGAAAGAUAUCGUUGAAAAAAUCCCCCAAGUUAACAAUGAAAACAAAAAUUGUAGUGCCGAAGAGCUCAUCGAACAAAGAUUAAAAGGAAAGAGGGUUUUACUUGUCUUAGAUGAUGUUUGGGAAUAUCGUGAGGUUGAGUGGAAAAAUGUAAUAGCUCUUUUCAAAAAAGAGGGGGGGAAAGGUAACAUGGUCAUAGUCACGACUCGAAUAUCCGAGGUAGCAAACGCUGUUAAGACAACUAAAUACUCACUAAAACUGGAGCGUUUGUGUUCAGCAGAUAUCAUGUCUUUCUUCGAAGAGUGUGUAUUUGGUGACCAAAAACCAUGGGUUGACCAUCCAGAACUAGUUGACAUUGGGAGCAAAAUAGUGGACAAGCUGAAGGGUUCCCCUCUUGCAGCAAGAACUGUUGGUAGAUUACUAAGAACAAAACUUAUAUUGAACCACUGGAGAAGCGUACUGGAAAGUAAAGAAUGGGAAUCAACAACGGACGAUAAUGAUAUUAUGCCAGCUCUAAAGCUCAGCUAUGAUUAUCUUCCUUUCCAUUUGCAACAAUGUUUUUCUUUUUGUGGUUUGUUUCCUGAAGAUUAUGUGUUUGGUAGUGAAGAGUUGGUUCACUUGUGGAUUGGACUAGACAUUUUACAUUCAGGUGACCAGAAGACAAAAAGACUUGAAGAUGUUGGACUGUGCUAUUUAAAUGACUUGGUAAAUUAUGGAUUUUUUAAAAUGAAUUCAAAAGGAAAUGAGCAUCCUUACUACGAUAUGCAUGACCUAAUGCAUGAGUUGGCAGUGAAGGUUUCAUCCCAUGAGUGUCUUAGCAUAUACAGUUCUAAUGUGAGGGACAUACAAAUUCCCCCAUCUGUACGUCACAUUUCAAUCAUUGUAGAUGACACAGAUAUCAAGGACAAAAUGUCUUUUGAAGAAUAUGAUGGGAAUUUGCGUGCACUUGGUACAAAAUUGGAAGUUGAAAACUCACACACUUUAAUGUUAUUUGGAUAUUACCAUGGAAGGUUUUCCAAAACUUUCGCUAGCUUGUUUGGCGAAGCUAGAGCUCUCCGCAUCAUAUUUUUGUGCGGCACGCAAUAUAACAUUGAGGAUAUAUUGCACAACUUCUCAAAACUAGUCCAUCUGCGGUACUUGAGGAUCGAGACGGGGCUUUACCGGCCUUUGUUCUUACCUUGUGCGUUGUUUAGAUUGUAUCAUUUAGUAGUCAUUGAUCUACAACGUGAGUAUAGAUGCCUUGAAUCAACUGCACAUAUGAGCAACCUCGUAAAAAAAAUAUGA
rnacentral:rRNA from 1 species